GGAUUACCAGAUAGGAAGAAGAGGCUGCCACGCUGGCGUAUUUCCAGAUCUGAAGCUGCUGCUUUGAACCAGCCACUUUUUAAGGUCAGUGUGUUUACUGGUGGCCAAAAGGAGCCUGUGUGUAAGAGAAAGAAACACAUGUGGCUGAGUGGCAGAGAUCAGGCACGGGACUUGAUGGGAAUCCUAAAUGAAUGGUGGGUCAUCAAUCUGCCAGCUGCCUUUACUCUCAUCCAUUGAGCCAGGGGUGUCCCCAUUUGGGCAGUAGUUCAGAAUUUUAGAAGUCUCCUACACAUCUCACUGGAAGUCCUAGUCCUGAUCACUAGUUUCAGAAGGUCUACAUGGAAAUAGAGAGCUCAG